GUAGCCUACAUGUUCAAAGGCCAUCAGAGGCAGCACACCAAAUAAUUAAACUGCAUAUGUUUGAAUUGUAACUCUCAUACUGAAUUAAUUUACCAAGGUUGUGGAUAAAGGCUUACUGGCGCCAGGAAGCAGACUCCCCACACCUGAGGGUGCAUGUGCUUCAUAACUCCCCACCAGACCAGGACCAGGUGAGCAGUCAGGUGAGCAGUCAGGUGACCUGGCCUCGUAGGUAUUUGAAGCGUCCUGUGACACAGCCAGACCACAACA